rnacentral:rRNA from 1 species
UACGUAGGGUGCAAGCGUUAAUCGGAAUUACUGGGCGUAAAGCGUGCGCAGGCGGUUUGCUAAGUCAGGUGUGAAAUCCCCGGGCUUAACCUGGGAACUGCGCUUGUUACUGGCAGGCUUGAGUGUGGCAGAGGGGGGUGGAAUUCCACGUGUAGCAGUGAAAUGCGUAGAGAUGUGGAGGAACACCGAUGGCGAAGGCAGCCCCCUGGGCUAACACUGACGCUCAUGCACGAAAGCGUGGGGAGCAAACAGG